rnacentral:rRNA from 1 species
AGCAGCCGCGGUAAUUCCAGCUCCAAUAGCGUAUAUUAAAGUUGUUGCAGUUAAAAAGCUCGUAGUUGAAUUUCGGGAUCAAUUUAUUGGUCGUGCUAUUGUACGUACUGGUAUUAUUGAUUCCUACCUUCUGACGAACCAUGAUGUCAUUAAUUUGGUGUCUUGGGGAAUCAGGACUGUUACUUUGAAAAAAUUAGAGUGUUUAAAGCAGGCUCACGCUUGAAUACAUUAGCAUGGAAUAACGAAAUAGGACGUUUGAUUCUAUUUUGUUGGUUUCUAGGAUCGACGUAAUGAUUAAUAGGGAUAGUUGGGGGCAUUAGUAUUCAAUUGUCAGAGGUGAAAUUCUUGGAUUUAUUGAAGACUAACUACUGCGAAAGCAUUUGCCAAGGGUGUUUUCAUUAAUCAAGAACGAAAGUUAGGGGAUCGAAGACGAUCAGAUACCGUCGUAGU